rnacentral:misc_RNA from 1 species
CUUGUGUUGAUAAUGGGGUUCUUCUUCUUCGGGAGAGAGGGCCUGAAUCUACAGGUAAUUCUGGGCAUGGUCAUAGCCGUGGUCGGAAUGAUCUGGUACGGAAAUGCCUCAACCAAGCCUGGAGGAAAAGAGCGUUGGAGCAUUUCACUACCUACAAGUAGACAACAAAAACAUAGUAGUUUAUCAGAAUCCAGUGAACAUGAUCCAAAGGCCUAAGCAUUCAUGUCGGGUAAGUUAAAGCAUACAAGGGUAGCUAAUUCCAGGAACUCAUAAAUCAUUUGAGAGAAUAGAAAAGCUCAUGGUUUGAUGCUAAUUAAUCUCUUAUUUAUUCAAUUAUUUCUUGUUUUUCUUUUAUUAGAUCCUAUCAAGAGAAAGUAGAUUUUUUGCUUAGAGUUGGG